rnacentral:lncRNA from 1 species
CAGAGGAUGGAAAUGUCCUUAAGCGCAGCCCUGAGUUGGAGCUUCAAGUGCUUGGUGAGUGAGAAUGAUGGGAAGCCACUGGCACAGAAGAAGGGACUCCCUUAUCUCCCAUGGGACUGAGGCCUCCAGUUACCAACUCCUGUCUGGUUUCAUGUCCUUUUCUAUCUGGCAGUGGGAAUAAUGUUUUUAGUGAACACUGUUCUCUGGGUGACAAUACGUAAAGAACUGAAAAGAAAGAAAAAGUGGAAUUUAGAAAUCUCUUUGGAUUCUGGUCAUGAGAAGAAGGUAAUUUCCAGCCUUCAAGAAGACAGACAUUUAGAAGAAGAGCUGAAAUGUCAGG